GACGGAGGAUGCAAGCGUUAUCCGGAAUGAUUGGGCGUAAAGCGUCCGCAGGUGGCAGUUCAAGUCUGCUGUCAAAGACCGGGGCUUAACUUCGGAAAGGCAGUGGAAACUGAACAGCUAGAGUAUGGUAGGGGCAGAGGGAAUUCCUGGUGUAGCGGUGAAAUGCGUAGAGAUCAGGAGGAACACCGGUGGCGAAGGCGGGUCUCUGGGCUGUAACUGACGCUGAGGAGCGAAAGCGUGGGUAGCGAACAGG
rnacentral:rRNA from 1 species